GAUGAACGCUGGCGGCGUGCCUAAUACAUGCAAGUCGAGCGAACGGACGAGAAGCUUGCUUCUCUGAUGUUAGCGGCGGACGGGUGAGUAACACGUGGAUAACCUACCUAUAAGACUGGGAUAACUUCGGGAAACCGUAGCUAAUACCGGAUAAUAUUUUGAACCGCAUGGUUCAAAAGUGAAAGACGGUCUUGCUGUCACUUAUAGAUGGAUCCGCGCUGCAUUAGCUAGUUGGUAAGGUAACGGCUUACCAAGGCAACGAUGCAUAGCCGACCUGAGAGGGUGAUCGGCCACACUGGAACUGAGACACGGUCCAGACUCCUACGGGAGGCAGCAGUGGGGAAUCUUCCGCAAUGGGCGAAAGCCUGACGGAGCAACGCCGCGUGAGUGAUGAAGGUCUUCGGAUCGUAAAACUCUGUUAUUAGGGAAGAACAUAUGUGUAAGUAACUGUGCACAUCUUGACGGUACCUAAUCAGAAAGCCCCGGCUAACUACGUG
rnacentral:rRNA from 1 species